AUUGAACGCUGGCGGCAGGCCUAACACAUGCAAGUCGAACGAGUGGCGGACGGGUGAGUAAUGUCUGGGAAACCGCCUGAUGGAGGGGGUUAACUCCUGGAAACGGUAGCUAAUACCGCAUACCAUCAGAUGUGCCCAGAUGGGAUUAGCUUGUUGGUGGGGUAAUGGGUCACCAAGGCGACGAUCCCUCGCUGGUCUGCGAGGUUGACCAGCCACACUGGAACUGAGACACGGUCCAGACUCCUACGGGAGGCAGUAGUGGGGAAUCGUGCACAAUGGGCGCAAGCCUGAUGCAGCCAUGCCGCGUGUGUGAAGAAGGCCUUCGGGUUGUAAAGUACUUUCAGCGGGGAGGCGUUACCCGCAGAAGAAGCACCGGCUAACUCCGUGCCAGCAGCCGCGGUAAUAC
rnacentral:rRNA from 1 species